CGACCGCUGAAUAAGCCGUGGAAUUUAUCAUUCGCUCUAGUGAUCGACGCGAUCGCAGCACUCAUAACAGGCUUGUUUUUUCUUCUACGAUCUCUUUUUUAAAAAAUUUGUCUUGAAACAUUUGGCUGGUUUCUUACAGUCAUUUCCUAACUUGAUUCAAGUAGCAGGAACAUUUGCCUUUCAGAAGGACUAACCUUAUCCCAUUUUCAAGCAAUAAAGGUUACUAUGGAUCGAUUUCUUUUAAUCACAUUUCUUUGUGUCAACUGGUCACAUCUUGCAUUCAGUCAGGCUGCUUUACCAUGGACCUAUAUUCCAAAUGCCUUACUAGGUA